rnacentral:rRNA from 1 species
UACGUAGGGUCCGAGCGUUGUCCGGAAUUAUUGGGCGUAAAGCGCGUGUAGGCGGUCCGGUAAGUCCGCUGUGAAAGUCGGGGGCUUAACCCUCGGAUGCCGGUGGAUACUGUCGGGCUUGAGUACGGAAGAGGCGAGUGGAAUUCCUGGUGUAGCGGUGAAAUGCGCAGAUAUCAGGAGGAACACCAAUUGCGAAGGCAGCUCGCUGGGACGUUACUGACGCUGAGACGCGAAAGCGUGGGGAGCAAACAGG